rnacentral:lncRNA from 1 species
GUUUUACUGACCAUAGAGUUUAAAGUGUGAAGACAGAACAAAAGGAUAACAACUAAGGCAACAUGAAGACAAUUAGAAAUACGUAUGGAUGCCCACCUCCAGUUUACUGAUGCCAUUUGUUGCAGAUGUAGCACAUUGAAGACAAGGUAACAUCACCAUACCAUAAAUGUAAGGCAUGUUCCAGGUAAUAUAGGUGGACAAGCUGAGAAAAACUCAGCACAAAUUUUGUAUUUGGGCUGGCUGGCCAUUCCUUUCCUGAAUUCAUUUUGGCAUGAAAGUCAACAUAGUGAUAAUCUAGGAAGCCAAUAUACACAGAUGGCUGGUCUGCAGCAUGACCUGGAAGAUGGCCUACUGGGACACACAGUAGAGAUCAAGCUCUUUCUGCCAGAAAAUGUUCUAGUUGUCCGUUGCUGGAGUUGA